rnacentral:misc_RNA from 1 species
CAACCCCCCUCGAGCGUCUGCUCGGUAUUAGGUCGGGCCGCCGUGGCCGGCCUUAAAGUCAGUGGCGGCGCCGCCGUGACGCUGAGCGUAGUAUCGAUCUGCCGCUCUAGCGUCUAGUGGUCUGCUAGCUAGGGGCAUCAUUUAUAGCUU